rnacentral:lncRNA from 1 species
UUCUGGUCGAGAUUUCCACAGGAGAAAAAGGGGUUCUCUACAUUGAACCCUAGCAUACACAAAAUCAAUCAAAUUGAAGGCCAAAUCGGGCUUGAAUCAAAGGCACGCAUACAUACAAAUGAUCACCAAGUCGAGGGGAUCAAGAGUUUGACUCUUGACAAGCUAGAUGGAGGCUUGGGGAAAGAAGCGGGUCAAACGGAUCGUAUACGCGGAAAAGAGCAUAAUCCGGAUACAAGGAAUAAAUAUCGAUUGAAUGUUGACAUCUCUAUUACUUAGCGGCCACUAAGGCAAGGUGAAGAUGGACCUAAUCCGGAU